rnacentral:misc_RNA from 1 species
GAUGAAGAACGUAGCGAAAUGCGAUAAGUAGUGUGAAUUGCAGAAUUCAGUGAAUCAUCGAAUCUUUGAACGCACAUUGCGCCUCCUGGUAUUCCGGGAGGCAUGCCUGUUCGAGCGUCAUCAAAAACCUCAACCCAUGAUUUAUUGUGAGUUGGUUCUGCAUUGGACUCCUUGUGGGUCCUUUGCGAAAUCCAAUGGCGAAGAGCCACGCAACCAAAGCGUAGUAUAACUAUCUCGUUAUGGAAGCGUGGGUGCCUCUGCCGUAACCCCCAAUUUCUUAGUUUUUGACCUCGGAUCAGGUAGGGAUACCCGCUGAACUUAAGCAUAUCAAUAAGCGGAGGA